rnacentral:rRNA from 1 species
AUUGAACGCUGGCGGAAUGCUUUACACAUGCAAGUCGAACGGUAACAGGGUGCUUGCACCGCUGACGAGUGGCGAACGGGUGAGUAAUGCGUCGGAACGUGCCGAGUAGUGGGGGAUAACGCAGCGAAAGUUGUGCUAAUACCGCAUACGUACUGAGGUAGAAAGUGGGGGACCUUCGGGCCUCACGCUAUUCGAGCGGCCGACGUCUGAUUAGCUAGUAGGUGAGGUAAAGGCUCACCUAGGCGACGAGCAGUAGCGGGUCUGAGAGGAUGAGCCGGCACACUGGGACAGAGACACGGCCCAGACUCCGACGGGAGGCGGCGGUGGGGAAUUUUGGACAAUGGGCGAAAGCCUGAUCCAGCCAUGCCGCGUGUCUGAAGAAGGCCUUCGGGUUGUAAAGGACUUUUGUCAGGGAGGAAAUCCCUAGUGCUAAUAACACUGGGGGAUGACAGUACCUGAAGAAUAAGCACGGGCUAACUACGUGCCAGCAGCCGCCGUAAGAC